rnacentral:rRNA from 1 species
UGAGUAACCUGCCUUUAACUCUGGGAUAAGCCUGGGAAACUGGGUCUAAUACCGGAUAUGACUCCUCAUCGCAUGGGUGGGGGGUGGAAAGCUUUAUUGUGGUUUUGGAUGGACUCGCGGCCUAUCAGCUUGUUGGUGAGGUAAUGGCUCACCAAGGCGACGACGGGUAGCCGGCCUGGAGGAGGGUCGACCCGGCCACACGUGGGACUGAGACCACCGGCCCAGACCUCCGUAACGGGGAGCAG